GACGAACCGUGCAAACGUUGUUCGGAAUCACUGGGCUUAAAGGGCGCGUAGGCGGCUUAUCAAGUCGGGGGUGAAAUACUUCAGCUUAGCUGGAGAAGUGCCUUCGAUACUGGUGGGCUUGAGGGAGGUAGGGGUCUGUGGAACUUCUGGUGGAGCGGUGAAAUGCGUUGAUAUCAGAAGGAACGCCGGUGGCGAAAGCGACGGACUGGACCUCUUCUGACGCUGAGGCGCGAAAGCUAGGGGAGCAAACGGG
rnacentral:rRNA from 1 species